rnacentral:tRNA from 1 species
GGAGAUGUAGCUCAGUGGUACAGCACUUGCCUAGCAUGCGUGAGGCCCUGGGUUUAAUCCCCAGCACCA